rnacentral:rRNA from 1 species
UACGGGGGGGGCAAGCGUUGUUCGGAAUUACUGGGCGUAAAGGGCUCGUAGGCGGCCAACUAAGUCGGACGUGAAAUCCCCAGGCUCAACCUGGGAACUGCGUCCGAUACUGGAUGGCUUGAAUCCGGGAGAGGGAUGCAGAAUUCCAGGUGUAGCGGUGAAAUGCGUAGAUAUCUGGAGGAAUACCGGUGGCGAAGGCGGCAUCCUGGACCGGCAUUGACGCUGAGGAGCGAAAGCCAGGGGAGCAAACAGG